UACGUAGGGGGCAAGCGUUGUCCGGAAUCAUUGGGCGUAAAGAGCGUGUAGGCGGUCCGGUAAGUCCGCUGUGAAAGUCGGGGGCUCAACCCUCGAAUGCCGGUGGAUACUGUCGGGCUAGAGUGCGGAAGAGGCGAGUGGAAUUCCUGGUGUAGCGGUGAAAUGCGCAGAUAUCAGGAGGAACACCAAUUGCGAAGGCAGCUCGCUGGGACGUAACUGACGCUGAGACGCGAAAGCGUGGGGAGCAAACAGG
rnacentral:rRNA from 1 species